GCCACAGAUGCUGGAUUGUCAACUCGGUCGCUUGCCCAAAACAUCAGAGACUCUACUUCUUCCAACCCCCAAAUCUCAAGAGCAGUUGAAGCUGCAGUUGCACUUCUGCAGGAUAUACAGAAGGCACCCAAAGGCAGGCACACUACCCAUUGCUCCAAAUAGGGAUAUCCCAUUUGGAGGGGCGAGUAUGGGCUCUACCAAGGUCGCUACACUAUUCUAAAAAGAAAACACCCCAUCCAGCUCUGGGUUGAAGAUGUAUCCACCGAUCCGACCAUCAUCCAAUCCCCAUUCCUGUGCCAACAUAUCCUGGUGUAGUUGAUGGACUCAGGUUAAACUCUGCAUCGGAAAAAAGGUGCCGGUACUCUCUUUCAUUUGCAUAUCAUUACAUUUGAGAUUUUUACAGUGUCUAGCUCUGGCACACGCAUUCUUUUAUUGCCUUUCUGAAGCCAGGCUAACAUGACUUACAAUUUCAAAUCUGACGCCAUUUUUCUAAGUUUCUAGGUUUUGGAUUUCACCAGUGAAAAAUGUGUUUACACUCAGGCGGAAGCCGCAGCCAUCAGACAGCUCCUGAUGGGGUGAACCGACUGCUUGCCUUUACGUGAUUCGUCAAGAUCUUUAGUAAGUCACGUAUUGCCCUCUGGGUAGUGUAGUUUAUGUAACGUUACGUUAGGUCAUUACAAAUCUCUCUGACACUGACGCUUUUUCUGGCAGUGGUAGAGUACCGGCUGCAUGUAAGAAGUAGCGGUAUGCAAGAAAAUGUGCCGCUACUGUAGAAGAAGUACCGCCCAACUUCGAGCACUGCACAUUAUACCCUUCAUUAACUACUAUCAUGGCUUAAGCAGAGUUAAGGUUGAUAAAUUAAGUCAAGGUUAAAAUGUAGCAAAAUAAUGUUUCUAUCAAAAUGAUUCCACACGGCUUCAGUUACUGUAUUUUGAAGUGGGAGCAUCUACUCCAAGUAGGUCUUACAAGUUGGAAAAGUGACAGGUUCUUUAGGUUCCAGAUAGACAAGGCAGGGUGUGUAAUGAACACCGGGACCAGGGGUUUGAGGACCCAAUUGCGGAACACAACUGUCGAUUUAUUAGCAAAAGCACAAGGGAUACCGCACGAGCAGAACGAGAGAGACAGGCGGGCAGGUUUGGUAACCGGGUCAUCAGUCCGCGAAGACGACAGUACAGGCAGGGGCAAGCAGGUAGGAUCAUUGACUGGGCAGGCAGGCAGGUCAAGAGGCAGGCUUCUAUACACAGAGACAAACGGGGACAGGGCCAGGAGAGGACAACAGGCUGGGAAUGAAUGCCACGGAAGCGUGAACAACACCUCACAGCUGAGUGGAGGUGGAGAACGAGGCGUUCAGUAUUCCGGUGAUUGGGAUCCGGAUUGCGAGCUGCAUUCAGGUACACUGGGUUGUGAGUGCGUAGUGGUGGCGGGCAUGGUGUGCGAAAGGGAGGAGCUGGAGCAGGAACGAUGCGAGGACCUCACAGGUGGAAGUGAGGCCAAAACCCAGGAAAAUAUAACAUUUUUUGACUCUCUGACAGUCAACUACACGUCAUGUCCGACAAGCUAUUCCAUUUGUGUUUUCCUUCAGAUACCCGUUUAACCACAUAUCAGCAAAUCACUUGUUUUCUAAGGAAAUCUGAGUAUUUAUUCAGUGUAAAAUGAUAUGGAAGAGUACAGUCUAUUAUAGUAUACUGCCUUUUUCUGAAAUAUUUUAUGAGAUUAAGAGACACAUUGAGAGGGAAUGUAUUCCUUUUUAAAAUACAACAUUUUGAGCAACUGGAUAUGCUUUGUAUGCAAUUAAAGAUUGCCUUCAAUUCAAUGCCUCAGAUGAUCAAUGUGGUUCAAGUCUAGAAAGUAUAUUUUAGAGCAAAUUUUUCGUGGGUUUACAAACUUAAUUCUGUAUGAUAGUUCUGAUUCUGAGUCUUAGACCAAGUUAAUGUGGCAUGAAUCCUAAAACUUUAUUAAAAAACAUUUUCCAGGCAAUCAUAGGAUCAAUGAUUUUGUCUGCAAAUGUUCAUAUUAAAAACAAACACAUGAAACCAAUAUUGAUUUUCUUCAGAGGCUGUAUACAAAAGUGUAAGGACCUUGUUCAUUGAGGAUUGCUGUCUUCAUAGCCUGGAGCCGGGUCUUCUGAAAAACAUAUUUACACAAGUUCACAUCAAUUCUUAGGAAAUCAGGUUGUGGAAAUUAUCCUACCAGGUAGGAUAAAAGACAGCCAAAGGUGGUAGAUACGCAACUUAGUCACUUGACUCCAUUGCAUUCUGCAUCUAACAACUCUGUGUCUCCAGAACAGAAGAGGAUGAAGACCCUCAGUGUGAUAGUGAUGUUUGCACUCCUGGGUGUCCUGUUGGCAAACCCUCCCAACGAGGUUAAUCUGGAGGAAGAUUCUCUGCCUCAAGAAGACAACAUGGCUCAAUAUGAUAAUUCGCUGUCUCAGGAGGACAAUGACGGUCAAAAUGACGUGGCAUUUGCAACAAAAUUACUGCAGGAGCUCCAGAACCCUCCACCAGGCGAGAAGCUGCAAAGCCUCUCCUGGGGAAGACAUAGGUUAUUUCGCAGAAUUCUCAGGCAUUGGUAUCCCUACAGAUGGCGCCGCUAUUAUCGCUGCUUCUGGUAUUGAGGAUCCUCUCCAGUCUCCAUAUGAAAUGUACCACAAUGGAACUCACACGUCUCCUGACAUCACCUCUCACCAACCUGAUGUAUCAACAACCUCUUAGACCCACAUCAUCACUAUAUCUACUGAUUAAUGUCUGCAAAACCAGACCUUUACGUCACCUUUUCUCGGUCUGGAUUGAUACUUAAAAAAUGAUUAGAGAUGAUUAACAUUGACUAUAUGAAGACAUGGUGGUAAUGUUGUAUGGCUGAUCUGUCAAACUGCAAACCUUUAAUAAACAUUUAUCAAGCAUCAUAUAUUAUCAGCUGUGUUUAAUGAUUUGCCCAACAUGUACAACCCCAUUUUCUAAA
ensembl:lncRNA